AGCAGAUCCUAAUAGUAAUGCAGAAUUUGCCACAGCAUGUCUGUGGAGGUCGGCCACCACAGGAAUCGGCCCUCUCCUUUCGCCACUGGGAGUCCAGGGUUAGAACUCUGGCUAGGAGCUUUGGCGGGUAUUUGUAAGAACAAGCCGAACCGAACUCUGCCUCCUGCCGGGUGUCCCUGCUGCUGAGAUCCACAUCCUUGCCUUGGGAUGGAAGAAGGAAAAGUUGAUGAAUUCCCGCUUUGUGGCUGCGUGGUGACCGCGAACAGCUCUCUUCUCUUUAACCACGCCCCACAGCUCCGCUCAUGGUGUUCAAAGGACAGGCUCUCUCUUUAGCAUUCUGUUGUGAAUCUGUGCCAUCUCUUCUUUAUCCGCUUAUCACUCAUGGACACUUAGCUGAUUCUACACUUUCUUUACUAUUGUGAAUUGUUCUUCAGGGAACAUGGGGGUUCAGAUGAUGUAGUGACCGUAUUUUUAAAUUUGGGGUGGGGGGGCUUCACGACGUUUCCCAUAAAAGCCGAACCAGUUUGCCUCCCACCUGUGGUGUGCAUGUUCCUUUCCUCCAUCACUUCUAAUAUUUAGUCUUUCUGGUAACAGCUAGCAUCACAGGACUAAGGUGAUGUCUCACAGUGGUUUGGAUUUGCAUUUCUUGUUUCGGUUUGCUUGUUUGUUUUUUCAGGACAGGGUCUUUCUCUGUAGUCUUGGCUGCCCUGGACUGGAUUUGUAGACAGGGCUGGCCUCGAACUCACAGAGACCCACCUGCUUCUGGCUCCCUGGGUGGUGGGAUUACAGGUGGGUGCCAUUGCAUGACUGGAGACGGACUAUCAUGUAGCCCAAACUUGCUAUGUAGCCCAGGAUGAUUCUGGACUUCUGAGUGCUGGGACAGGCAUGUGUUACUACACCUGGUUUUAUAUAGAGCUGGGGACUGAACCAGGGCUUCAUGGAUGCUAGGUAAGUACUCUACCAGCUGAGCAACACUGCCAAUCCAAUUAAAAGCAUCUAAGAAAUGAUGCUUUUAAGUUUAAUUGAUGAUUAUUGUGAAUUGUGAAAAAAAAUAUUUUUAGGGCUGGAGAGAUGGUUCAGUGGUUAAGAACAUGGCUGCUCCUCCAGAGAUCCUGAGUUCAAUUCCCAGCAACCACAAGGUGGCUCACAACAUCUACCUUGGGGUCUGAUGCCCUCUACUGGCAUGCAGGUGUACAUGCAAAUAGAGCACUCAUACACAAAAAGAUUUAUUUAUUAUUUACACAAUAUUCUGCCUGAAUGUAUAUCUGCACGCCAGAAGAGGGCACCAGCUCUCAUUACAGAUGCUUGUGAGCUACCAUGUGGUUGCUGGAAUUGAACUCAGCACCUUUGGAAGGACAGCUAGUGCUCUUAACCUCUGAGCCAUCUCUCCAACCCCAAGUAAAAUCUUUAAAACAUUUUUAUUUUUAAACAAGAUCUAACUUUGUGUUUUAUUUGUUUUUCAGGUGUGUACAGAUACCCAGGGAGGCCAGAAGAGGGUGUCAGAUCCCCUGGAGCUGGAGUUACAGGGGGUUGUGAGCCUUCCAACAGGGGUGCUGGGAACUGAACUUCCGGCCUCUGGAGGAGCAGCAAAUGCUGCACCAUUGCUCUAGAGCCUUUAUUUUUUUUGAGACAGGGUCCUGUUAUAGCCCAGGCUGCUUUCUGACUCAAUAAGUAGCUGAGGAUGAUCUUGAACUCCUGAUUCUCCUGUCUCCACCUCCUAAGUGUUGGAAUUACAAGCAUGUUCCACUGUACCAGGCUUGAUUAACAUUUACUGAAAAAGAAGCGGAGUUAAUUCACGCUUUCUGUGCCUUCCCACUAUACCCUAAGUUCAUGAGUCCUAUUAAACAGGUGGCUGAACUUUGUCUGUGUGCUCAUAGGAAGACCAAGAGUAUUCUACAACGGGAGGAGAAAAUUACAGACAGCACAAACACUAGGAGGGGUUUGCUGAACAGAAGAGUAACAAAUGAUCUGAAGCACCGAGAAUUCUGCGUAAGGAUAUCUGAGGAUUUUAUCAUUCCACAAUAGGGCAGCUUCUUUAGUCCAAAAAUUCUACCAGGGAACUCCUACAGCUGAUAAACACCUUCAGCAAAGUGGCCGGAUACAAAAUUAACUCAAAAAAUCAGUAGCCCUCCUGUAUACAAAAUACAAAAGGGCUGAGAAAGAAAUUAGGGAAACAGCGCCCUUCACAAUAGCCACAAAAGACAUAAAUUACCUUGGUGUAACCCUAACCAAGCAAGUCAAAGACUUGUAUGAAAAAAAUUUCAAGUCUCUGAAGAAAGAAUUAGAAGAAGAUAUCAGAAGAUCGAAAGAUCUCCCAUUCUCAUGGCUUGGCAGGAUUAACAUAGUAAAAAUGGCCAUCUUACCAAAGCAAUCUACAGAUUCAAUGCAAUUCCCAUCAAAUUACCAACACAAUUCUUUACAGACAUGGAAAGAAAAAUUCUCAACUUCAUAUGGAAUAACAAGAAAUCCAGAAUUGCUAAAACAAUCCUCUACAAUAAAAGAUCUUCUGGAGGGAUCUCCAUUCCUGAUCUUAAGUUGUACUAUAGAGCAACAGUUUUAAAAACUGCAUGGUACUGGCAUAAAAACAGAAUGGUGGAUCAAUGGAACCAAACAGAGGACCCAGAAAUAAACCCACACACUUAUGGACACCUGAUCUUUGACAAAGAAGCCAAAACCAUACAAUGGAAAAAAGAUAGCAUCUUCAACAAAUGGUGCUGGCCUAACUGGAUGUCUACAUGUAGAAAAAUGCAAAUAGAUCCAUACUUAUCACCCUGCACAAAACUAAAGUCAAAGUGGAUCAAGGACCUUAACAUAAAACCAAAUACCCUAAAUCAAUUGGAAAAAAAAGUGGGGAACAGCCUAGAACUCAUUAGCACAGGAGACAACUUUUCCUGAACAGAACACCAACAGCACAGGCUCUAAGAGCAACAAUCAAUAAAUGGGACCUCAUGAAACUGAAAAGUUUCUGUAAAGCAAAGGACCCCGUAAUCAAAACAAAACAACUGCCUUGUUUUGAAGAUUGAGAAAGAAUCUUCACCAACCCUUCAUCUGACAGAGGACUCAUAUCCAGUAUAUAUAUAAAGAACUCAAGAAGCUGAAAAGCAGCAAACCAAGUAAUCCAAUUAAAAAACGGGGAACAGAGUAUUAGUGCUGUUCUUAAGGGACUCACGGUCAGUCACGGUUACAUGGGUAGUUAGACAAGUCAGGAUGAAAAUGUAGAUGCCAAAGCAGCCAUGUUAGCAAACACAUGUGAUCCCAGCACUUGUGAGGUGGAGG